rnacentral:lncRNA from 12 species
GGGGGGGGGGGGGGGGGCGGCACUCGGGGGUGACACCGGGAGAGGUGGCACGGGGGGCGGGGGGGCGUUUGGGACUGGAGGAAGGCUGGCACUGUGUCCCCCUCCCCAGCCAGGGACAGUGCGACAGCGACAGGGGGACACUGGGGACACAGGGCUUGGGGACAGCGAGGACAGGGAGGUGGGACCAGGGACAUCAGGAUGAGGGACAUGGGGACAGGGACAUCAUGGCCGAGGCCACCAGGGCUGGGGACACCGGGACUAGGGAACAGCAGGGGACAGGGACACUGGGAGUGGGGACAGGGACACUGGGAGAGGGGACAGGGACAUGGACUGGGGACAGGGACACUGGGACUGGGGACAGGGACACUGGGAGUGGGGACACGGCUGUGACAGGGACACGGACAGCAGGGACCAAGGACAAGUGGACGAGGCACACAGGGCCAGGGACAGGACACUGGGAUCAGGGACAUCAAGGCCCCAGGGCUGUGGUGAUACUGGUGGCACUGGUGGCACUGGUGUUGAUGGGACAGUGACAGGAGCAGGAAGGGACAGGUGGUGGCACUGGGAGGAGCCCCUGGAGGGGCUGCUGGGGUGACAUGGGGACAGGGCUGGGAGUGGGGUGACACUGGGGGCGGGGGUGGGGAGACAGGGGACACCAGGGAUGGGGCAGGGAAGGGUCUGGGACCGGGGGUGACCAGGAUGGCCUGGGGACAUUGGGGACAGGGCAGGGGACACCGGGAUGGGGCGGGGGACACCGGGGGACACCGGGCCCCCCCCCCCCCCCCCCCCCCCCCCCCCCCCCCCCCCCCCCCCCCCCCCCCCCCCCCCCCCCCCCCCCCCCCCCCCCCCCCCCCCCCCCCCCCCCCCC